CUAAGGCCAAAGAAUCACCAACGAUACUCCUGACAGUUGAAGCAUCCGUAGACAAUCUUGCUCCGACUGCACCACUGGAAAAAUCGAAAGGAUCAUCAAACCAGCUGAUAUCUUGGUGUACAACCUUUGCAAAUGUCAUAGAACGGAUUCUUUCGAUCAGUCUACCUCCUGCAAUUCCAAAUAAGUAGUUCUGAAGUGGAAGAACUAGGAAAUUAACCAAACCGAUGACUACAUAUAUCAGUGCCCAGAACUCGGAAUCUUUUUUCAGCUUAGCUGGCGGCUCGUAGAAUAUUUUGAUGGCUGUUGAUAAUAGGAGGCCAAAUAUUGGGAAAACAGCUCCAUGUAUAGCUGCAGCAAUAGUUCCAAGUAACAGAAUUGGCAAUUCAGGCUUGUUCAUAUAUGCAAGUCUUCUCAUUGGAACAUCUUUAUGCUUCUCCUUUCCUCUACUGCUACGAUCAUCUUCUUCCGUCUCGAUAAUAUUGAUACCGACAGGCAUUCCUAAGCCCAUGUCAUGAACUGUGAAAGACUGGCGGUGCUGUGACGGUGCUCGUUCCAUGGAGGAUGUGUUUUCCACGGAAUGUUUGCUUCCUGACUUGGAAAAAUGCCUAUCAACUUCUGAAUGACCAUUGUCACCGAUGUGAUGAGAAUGCUCGGGUUUAUUAUUUCCUUGUUGGAGGCGAAUUAACUGGGAGUAUCCUCCUUCUGGAUUUUGUAUCAGUUCCUCAUGAGUUCCUGAAAGGCCCUCAUGUAUUAGGUUGAAAAUAUAUGGUUCGGUAUGCGAGCUGUAAGUUUACUAGUGCUAACGGUGUAAUCAAGUCCAGUAAAGUCGAAACACUAUCAAACUCGAGCUCGACUCACCCUAUUCAAAAUUCAGAAUUCAACUUGAGCCUGGUUAAGAUUUUUUUUAAAAGGUCGAGCUCGAACUCGAUAGAAUAAUAAAAAAUCGAGCUCCACUCGUCUCGACUCAA